rnacentral:tRNA from 1 species
GCCGAGGUAGCUCAGCCUGGGAGAGAUUGUAAACUCCAGCACUCCGCUGAAGCCGGAGCUGUCGCCGGUUCAAAUCCGGCUCUCGGCA